AUAGCUGUGUCAGAAAUUUAUGAGUUAGUUUUAAGCAUUAAUUAUGGAACAUUUCCCGGCUAUA
rnacentral:tRNA from 1 species